CCUACGGGGUGCAGCAGUGGGGAAUAUUGGACAAUGGGCGAAAGCCUGAUCCAGCCAUGCCGCGUGUGUGAAGAAGGCCUUCGGGUUGUAAAGCACUUUCAGUGGGGAAGAAAGCCUUGGGGCUAAUACCCUCGAGGAAGGACAUCACCCACAGAAGAAGCACCGGCUAAUUCCGUGCCAGCAGCCGCGGUAAUACGGAGGGUGCGAGCGUUAAUCGGAAUUACUGGGCGUAAAGCGCGCGUAGGCGGUCUGAUAAGCCGGUUGUGAAAGCCCCGGGCUCAACCUGGGAACGGCAUCCGGAACUGUCAGGCUAGAGUGCAGGAGAGGAAGGUAGAAUUCCCGGUGUAGCGGUGAAAUGCGUAGAGAUCGGGAGGAAUACCAGUGGCGAAGGCGGCCUUCUGGACUGACACUGACGCUGAGGUGCGAAAGCGUGGGUAGCAAACAGGAUUAGAUACCCUAGUAGUC
rnacentral:rRNA from 1 species